rnacentral:rRNA from 1 species
GGAGAGAAGGGGCAGAGCACGGAGGGAGUGAGUAGGUGGAGGCUGUUGGGCGUAUUUGUUGGGCGUAAAGCGAGCGCAGGCGGUUACUUAAGUGUGGUGGGAAAGCGCACGGCUCAACCGGGGAAGGUCAUUGGAAACGGGGGAACUUGAGUGCAGAAGAGGAGAGUGGAAUUCCAGGUGUAGCGGUGAAAUGCGUAGAUAUAUGGAGGAACACCAGUGGCGAAGGCGACUCUCUGGUCUGUAACUGACGCUGAGGCUCGAAAGCGUGGGGAGCAAACAGGAUUAGAUACCCGAGUAUUC